ACGUAGGGGGCAAGCGUUAUCCGGAAUUAUUGGGCGUAAAGAGUGCGUAGGUGGUUUUUUAAGCGUGAGGUGAAAGGCAAUAGCUUAACUAUUGUAAGCCUUGCGAACUGGAAGACUUGAGUGCAGGAGAAGAAAGUGGAAUUCCUAGUGUAGCGGUGAAAUGCGUGGAUAUUAGAAGGUACACCAGUGGCGAGGGCGACUUUCUGGACCGUAACUAACACUGAGCCACGAUAGCGUAGGGAACAAGCAG
rnacentral:rRNA from 1 species